rnacentral:tRNA from 1 species
CUAAGGAAGCUGUGGAACUGGUAAGACGAUCGGCUGGAUCUUCGGAUCUCCCCGAUAUGAACCUUCCCGUGCUUUUUAGAACAUAGAUGGCACCAGUCAGGUGACUAUCGAAACGUAAUACGCCGCGAUGACUUCGGUCACGACGGUAUGGCGAGCUUUCGCCGUCCACGUUUCUCUUUCUUCAAGAAGACAAAAAACCGCGUCGAUCCAGUUUAGGCUGGGCCGGUUCCCCGAAUGGGCCCGUAGCUCAGUUGGUUAGAGCACACGCUUGAUAAGCGUGGGGUCGGAAGUUCAAGUCUUCCCGGGCCCACCAUUUGCACCAGCAAAUGAAGUUUGCUGUAGCCAAUGAGGGUUAGGGAUGAUGGAAUGUCAGGCGAUGCGGAUUGUUGCCGAACCUUGGGGCUUGUCCUUGGGGUGAUCGAGCUGGAGGGGCUGUAGCUCAGCUGGGAGAGCACCUGCUUUGCAAGCAGGGGGUCAGCGGUUCGAUCCCGCUCAGCUCCACCAAAUCGAUUGGUGUUGAAGCUGACGGUAACGGAGCGAAAGCUUCGCAAGCGCAAGGCGCGUCGCCAAUCGUUUGGCGCCCCCCGCGGAGCGCCUUCGGCGCGUGAGCGACAAGAAUUGUCUUUUGAAGAAAUAAAAGUUUUGCAUCGGCUUAUGGCUGAUGCGUGUUCUGCAUACAUUGUGAAGAGAAGAUUGAUCUGGAGGCUUCCAGGUGUUUUGGGUUCUGCCCAAGGCGUCCGAGCCCAGUUCUGAUGAUCCCAUGGAUGGCCUAGCCGGCCGGAUAUGGGUGAAGGACUGGAGGGUGGAAGGAAGCUUGUCACUCUGGAUCGUCAGCGUAAACCGCAUAGCGGUUUAUCGCGUGUUGUUCGUAGCCUUCGGGCUUCGUCUGACGGACGAUCGGAUUACCGUUGCCUGACCGCGCGGUAUCGGAUCAUAUCUCGAGAAGCUGGUCUUAAGACAGGCUGCAAGCGAGCUGCUCGGCGUAGCUCCAAUAAAGCAGACCUGUCGAACACGUUAAUGGCAUUGUUAGAAAGCGUGAUUGUAAAAGGUAAUCACGCAUGUUUGGCCCGACCGGUUCGGCAAUCGCAAGGUUGUCGGUAUGGUCGGAUUUGGCACCCCGCGAGGCGAAAGCAACGCGGACAAGGUCUGCCAAAUCAAACAAAGACGAUGAGCAUUGGCAAUGAGAACG